rnacentral:rRNA from 1 species
AGAGUUUGAUCAUGGCUCAGAGCGAACGCUGGCGGCAGGCUUAACACAUGCAAGUCGAACGCAUCCUUCGGGAUGAGUGGCAGACGGGUGAGUAACACGUGGGAACGUACCCUUCGGUUCGGAACAACUCUGGGAAACUGGAGCUAAUACCGGAUACGCCCUUUUGGGGAAAGGUUUACUGCCGAAGGAUCGGCCCGCGUCUGAUUAGCUAGUUGGUGGGGUAACGGCCUACCAAGGCGACGAUCAGUAGCUGGUCUGAGAGGAUGAUCAGCCACAUUGGGACUGAGACACGGCCCAAACUCCUACGGGAGGCAGCAGUGGGGAAUAUUGGACAAUGGGCGCAAGCCUGAUCCAGCCAUGCCGCGUGAGUGAUGAAGGCCUUAGGGUUGUAAAGCUCUUUUGUCCGGGACGAUAAUGACGGUACCGGAAGAAUAAGCCCCGGCUAACUUCGUGCCAGCAGCCGCGGUAAUACGAAGGGGGCUAGCGUUGCUCGGAAUCACUGGGCGUAAAGGGCGCGUAGGCGGCCAUUCAAGUCGGGGGUGAAAGCCUGUGGCUCAACCACAGAAUUGCCUUCGAUACUGUUUGGCUUGAGACCGGAAGAGGUCAGUGGAACUGCGAGUGUAGAGGUGAAAUUCGUAGAUAUUCGCAAGAACACCAGUGGCGAAGGCGGCUGACUGGUCCGGUUCUGACGCUGAGGCGCGAAAGCGUGGGGAGCAAACAGGAUUAGAUACCCUGGUAGUCCACGCCGUAAACGAUGAAUGCCAGCUGUUGGGGUGCUCGCACUUCAGUAGCGCAGCUACGCUCUAAGCAUUCCGCCUGGGGAGUACGGUCGCAAGAUUAAAACUCAAUGAAUUGACGGGG